rnacentral:rRNA from 1 species
CGUAGGGUGCAAGCGUUGUCCGGAAUUAUUGGGCGUAAAGAGCUCGAAGGCGGUCUGUCGCGUCGGCUGUGAAAACUUGGGGCUCAACUCCGAGCUUGCAGUCGAUACGGGCAGGCUAGAGUUCGGCAGGGGAGACUGGAAUUCCUGGUGUAGCGGUGAAAUGCGCAGAUAUCAGGAGGAACACCGGUGGCGAAGGCGGGUCUCUGGGCCGAUACUGACGCUGAGGAGCGAAAGCGUGGGGAGCGAACAGGAUUAGAUACCCUGGUAGUCCACGCCGUAAACGUUGGGCGCUAGGUGUGGGAUCCCUUCCACGGGUUCCGUGCCGCAGCUAACGCAUUAAGCGCCCCGCCUGGGGAGUACGGCCGCAAGGCUA